GGUAGCUCAGUGGUAGAGCUCUUGCCUUGCAUGCAUGAGGCCUUGGGUUCGAUUCCUCAGUACCA
rnacentral:tRNA from 1 species